rnacentral:tRNA from 1 species
GCCUUUAUAGCUCAGUGGUAGAGCGCAGCACUUGUAAGAUUUGUUACAAGUCCAUGCUGAGGUCCAUCGUUCAAUCCGGUGUGGAGGCA